UACGUAGGAGGCGAGCGUUGUCCGGAAUGACUGGGCGUAAAGGGCGCGUAGGCGGCUCAUACAGUCAGGCGUGAAAUUCCUGGGCUCAACCUGGGGACUGCGCUUGAGACGUGUGGGCUUGAGUGGGGAAGAGGGUCGUGGAAUUCCCAGUGUAGAGGUGAAAUUCGUAGAUAUUGGGAAGAACACCGGUGGCGAAGGCGGCGACCUGGUCCUUGACUGACGCUGAGGCGCGAAAGCGUGGGGAGCAAACAGG
rnacentral:rRNA from 1 species